rnacentral:rRNA from 1 species
ACGAACGCUGGCGGCGUGCUUAACACCUGCAAGUCGAACGGAAAGGCCCUGCUUUUGUGGGGUGCUCGAGUGGCGAACGGGUGAGUAACACGUGAGUAACCUGCCCUUGACUUUGGGAUAACUUCAGGAAACUGGGGCUAAUACCGGAUAGGAGCUCCUGCUGCAUGGUGGGGGUUGGAAAGUUUCGGCGGUUGGGGAUGGACUCGCGGCUUAUCAGCUUGUUGGUGGGGUAGUGGCUUACCAAGGCUUUGACGGGUAGCCGGCCUGAGAGGGUGACCGGCCACAUUGGGACUGAGAUGCGGCCCAGACUCCUACGGGAGGCAGCAGUGGGGAAUAUUGCACAAUGGGCGGAAGCCUGAUGCAGCAACGCCGCGUGCGGGAUGACGGCCUUCGGGUUGUAAACCGCUUUCGCCUGUGACGAAGCGUGAGUGACGGUAAUGGGUGAAGAAGCACCGGCUAACUACGUG